UUUCUAUGUAAUUUGCUUUAAUUUCGUUUUUAAAAUUAGCAAUUAAGAUGGUAAAUUGGAAUGUGUACAAAAAUUUUUUCAGGAGCCUUUAUCUUUUGCUGUCUUUAAAAGUAUAUAUCAAAAGUUAAUAAAUUGAAGGUGAUAGACAUAGAAUUCUAUUUUUGAGGAUACUAUCAUUAUACAUUAUCUUAAGGCUCGUCAUGGUCUUUCCCUAAAAGUCUUUAGAACAAUUGCGGACCAUCUUAUCGACUUUUUGUUAAUUACUAGCUUUAAUUUAUCAAGAUGUACACGGUAAAACUUCAUUUAAUUUCGAAGUCCACGGAUUACGGUCAAUAAAAUUAUAUCACCGAAGAUUAGGACGUUGAUACCGAGAUCUACUAUAUAUAAGCAUAUCUGACAUUUUUAAAAA